rnacentral:rRNA from 1 species
UUACCACUUUGUGAUUCAUGACUGGGGUGAAGUCGUAACAAGGUAACCGUAGGGGAACCUGCAGUUGGAUCACCUCCUUA